UGUCGUAGCUAACGCAUUAAGCGCCCCGCCUGGGGAGUACGGCCGCAAGGCUAAAACUCAAAGGAAUUGACGGGGGCCCGCACAAGCGGCGGAGCAUGCGGAUUAAUUCGAUGCAACGCGAAGAACCUUACCAAGGCUUGACAUACACCGGAAACGGCCAGAGAUGGUCGCCCCCUUGUGGUCGGUGUACAGGUGGUGCAUGGUUGUCGUCAGCUCGUGUCGUGAGAUGUUGGGUUAAGUCCCGCAACGAGCGCAACCCUCGUUCUAUGUUGCCAGCGGGUUAUGCCGGGGACUCAUAGGAGACUGCCGGGGUCAACUCGGAGGAAGGUGGGGAUGACGUCAAAUCAUCAUGCCCCUUAUGUCUUGGGCUUCACGCAUGCUACAAUGGCCGGUACAAAGGGCUGCGAUACCGUAAGGUGGAGCGAAUCCCAAAAAGCCGGUCUCAGUUCGGAUUGAGGUCUGCAACUCGACCUCAUGAAGUCGGAGUCGCUAGUAAUCGCAGAUCAGCAACGCUGCGGUGAAUACGUUCCCGGGCCUUGUACACACCGCCCGUCAAGUCAUGAAAGUCGGUAACACCCGAAGCCGGUGGCCUAACCCUUGU
rnacentral:rRNA from 1 species